rnacentral:rRNA from 1 species
UGGGGAAUAUUGCACAAUGGGCGGAAGCCUGAUGCAGCGACGCCGCGUGGGGGAUGAAGGCCUUCGGGUUGUAAACUCCUUUCGACAGGGACGAAGCUUUUGUGACGGUACCUGUAUAAGAAGCACCGGCUAACUACGUGCCAGCAGCCGCGGUAAUACGUAGGGUGCGAGCGUUGUCCGGAAUUACUGGGCGUAAAGAGCUCGUAGGUGGUUUGUCGCGUCGUCUAUGAAAUUCCGGGGCUUAACUCCGGGCGUGCAGGCGAUACGGGCUGACUUGAGUGCUGUAGGGGAGACUGGAAUUCCUGGUGUAGCGGUGAAAUGCGCAGAUAUCAGGAGGAACACCGAUGGCGAAGGCAGGUCUCUGGGCAGUAACUGACGCUGAGGAGCGAAAGCAUGGGUAGCGAACAGGAUUAGAUACCCUGGUAGUCCAUGCCGUAAACGGUGGGCGCUAGGUGUAGGGGGCUUCCACGUCUUCUGUGCCGUAGCUAACGCAUUAAGCGCCCCGCCUGGGGAGUACGGCCGCAAGGCUA